AUUGAACGCUGGCGGCAGGCCUAACACAUGCAAGUCGAACGAGUGGCGGACGGGUGAGUAAUGUCUGGGAAACUGCCCGAUGGAGGGGGAUAACUACUGGAAACGGUAGCUAAUACCGCAUACCAUCGGAUGUGCCCAGAUGGGAUUAGCUAGUUGGUGGGGUAAUGGCUCACCUAGGCGACGAUCCCUAGCUGGUCUGAGAGGAUGACCAGCAAAACUGGAACUGAGACACGGACCAGACUCCUACGGGAGGAAGCAGUGGGGAAUAUUGCACAAUGGGAGCAAGCCUGAUGCAGCCAUGCCGCGUGGAUGAAGAAGGCCUUCGGGUUGUAAAGUACGUUCAGCGGGGAGGCGUUACCCGCAGAAGAAGCACCGGCUAACUCCGUGCCAGCAGCCGCGGUAAUAC
rnacentral:rRNA from 1 species